AUUGAACGCUGGCGGCAGGCCUAACACAUGCAAGUCGAGCGGCAGCGACUUAACUGAACCUUCGGGGAACGUUAAGGGCGGCGAGCGGCGGACGGGUGAGUAAUGCCUGGGAAUAUGCCCUGAUGUGGGGGAUAACUAUUGGAAACGAUAGCUAAUACCGCAUAAUCUCUUCGGAGCAAAGAGGGGGACCUUCGGGCCUCUCGCGUCAGGAUUAGCCCAGGUGGGAUUAGCUUGUCGGUGAGGUAAUGGCUCACCAAGGCAACGAUCCCUAGCUGGUCUGAGAGGAUGAUCAGCCACACUGGAACUGAGACACGGUCCAGACUCCUACGGGAGGCAGCAGUGGGGAAUAUUGCACAAUGGGGGAAACCCUGAUGCAGCCAUGCCGCGUGUGUGAAGAAGGCCUUCGGGUUGUAAAGCACUUUCAGUAGGGAGGAAGGUAGUGUAGUUAACACCUGCAUUAUUUGACGUUACCUACAGAAGAAGCACCGGCUAACUCCGUGCCAGCAGCCGCGGUAAUACGGAGGGUGCGAGCGUUAAUCGGAAUUACUGGGCGUAAAGCGCAUGCAGGCGGCCUGUUAAGUCAGAUGUGAAAGCCCGGGGCUUAACCUCGGAAUUGCAUUUGAAACUGGCAGGCUAGAGUCUUGUAGAGGGGGGUAGAAUUUCAGGUGUAGCGGUGAAAUGCGUAGAGAUCUGAAGGAAUACCAGUGGCGAAGGCGGCCCCCUGGACAAAGACUGACGCUCAGAUGCGAAAGCGUGGGGAGCAAACAGG
rnacentral:rRNA from 1 species